rnacentral:tRNA from 1 species
GUGGGCGUAGCUCAGCUGGUAGAGCCCUGGAUUGUGAUUCCAGUUGUCGUGGGUUCGAGCCCCAUCGUCCACC